AUUAUACCAUUCAUAUCCAAGUACAAGUUAUCGAACUCCAUGCCGUUAGGGUUAGGUUUUGAAACGUCAACUGGGAUUGGGACGCCAUUGCUGUCCUCUUUAGGUUCUUCUUCAAUCACAUCCACAAUUGCUAGUGGGUAACGGUCUACAAGCCACCUGUAGAACGCUGGCACCCCCAUGGCUGAUGCUGGCUCGGUCCAGGUCUAGCCCCGGUUCGAUCAAGAACGACUGUAGAAGUCAAAGGGAGACGGGAUGGAACAGGUAAGAGAAGGGGGUUUCGGCUGAGAGACGAUUCG
rnacentral:misc_RNA from 1 species